UACGUAGGGGGCAAGCGUUGUCCGGAUUUAUUGGGCGUAAAGAGCGUGUAGGCGGCCAGGUAGGUCAGCUGUGAAAACUCGAGGCUCAACCUCGAGACGCCGGUUGAAACCAUCUGGCUAGAGUCCGGAAGAGGAGAGUGGAAUUCCUGGUGUAGCGGUGAAAUGCGCAGAUAUCAGGAGGAACACCGGUGGUGUAGACGGCUUCUGGACCGUAACUGACGCUGAGACACGAAAGCGUGGGUAGCAAACAGG
rnacentral:rRNA from 1 species